rnacentral:lncRNA from 1 species
AGACCUUACACCUUACAGGUAUAACCAUUUUAUAGUAAUAGCCGCAUCUUAACUCUCAAAUUUAACCAUUCCGCUUCUGCUAUUGUUGCAGAUGUAAAUCCUUUACAAUAAUUUCAAUUGCCAUUUUCAAACUCAAAUGCAAACAAUCUCAUUCCAUCUAUUUAAAGCGAGAAAUCUAACAAAAUAGUAUAAGAAAUCAAUUCAAUCUCAAAUCCAAGUUAUUAACACAAAUAGAGUAAAGUUUUAGGCAUUUUCAUUAAAAUAACCAGUAAAAAUAAUGAGAGAAUAGAAGAACGUUUUUCCCCAAAAUGAAACAAAUUGCUGUCUAUUGGACCAGCGUAUGGAGAUCUCGAACGGAACCUCGCCUUCGACCGGUAAUCAUGCAUAGCCAUGAACUUGAAUCCCCCUCCACUCAUUUAAAUUCCAACAUUUGAAACUCAAUUUGAAAUCAAAAGAAAGAAGCAGUAAUAUGUAUUUUUGUAUUUUCAUCCUCUGUUUCUGUCUACGUGCGUAUAUUCUCGCCGAGCUCCGAUGAGAAUGGGGAGAAAAAGAAACGAUGACGGAUGGCUUCUGCUGGCCGUUCAGAGUCAGGUGGGUAGGCGUCUGUGCAUUUGGAUGAAGUUCAUUGUAGGUCUCGCGGUGUGUUGCGACUGUUUGGUGUUUGAGAGGGGUUGCUGGGUGUUGCUUUUGUUGUAGAAAAUCAAGAGGGUCCUCCUUAGUUCUUAGGUCUAUUGCUUGAAAACAGAUAGAGAAUCAGAAGUUCAGGGGUGGGGGGUCUCUUUGGUGUCAAGCAGCGGAUCUCCACUACGGAUUAUGCAUUAG